CCUACGGGUGGCUGCAGUGGGGAAUAUUGGACAAUGGGGGCAACCCUGAUCCAGCCAUGCCGCGUGUGUGAAGAAGGCCCUCGGGUUGUAAAGCACUUUCAGUGAGGAAGAACGCCUGGUGGUUAAUACCCAUCAGGAAAGACAUCACUCACAGAAGAAGCACCGGCUAACUCCGUGCCAGCAGCCGCGGUAAUACGGAGGGUGCGAGCGUUAAUCGGAAUUACUGGGCGUAAAGCGCGCGUAGGUGGCUUGAUAAGCCGGUUGUGAAAGCCCCGGGCUCAACCUGGGAACGGCAUCCGGAACUGUCAAGCUAGAGUGCAGGAGAGGAAGGUAGAAUUCCCGGUGUAGCGGUGAAAUGCGUAGAGAUCGGGAGGAAUACCGGUGGCGAAGGCGGCCUUCUGGACUGACACUGACACUGAGGUGCGAAAGCGUGGGUAGCAAACAGGAUUAGAUACCCUAGUAGUC
rnacentral:rRNA from 1 species